UACAGAGGUCUCAAGCGUUGUUCGGAUUCAUUGGGCGUAAAGGGUGCGUAGGCGGCGCGGUAAGUCGGGUGUGAAAUCUCGGAGCUUAACUCCGAAACUGCAUUCGAUACUGCCGUGCUUGAGGACUGGAGAGGAGACUGGAAUUUACGGUGUAGCGGUGAAAUGCGUAGAUAUCGUAAGGAACACCGGUGGCGAAAGCGGCUCACUGGAUCUUUUCUGACGCUGAGGCACGAAAGCUAGGGUAGCGAACGGG
rnacentral:rRNA from 1 species